UCUUUGCACAUUCUGGGUAAGAUCUUAUUUGGAUUUUCUCUCUCUUUCUUUCUCUUUUUCUUUCUUUUUUCAGAAGAAUCUGACCACCAAAUCCCAUCCCCAGUGCUCGGGAUGAGUCUUCUCACGUUGCACCCUGCAGAUGUCUCCUCAGCCUGUCCUUGCUGUCUUAUCUUCUACAUUAUGUCUUUGGAUGAGCAGAAGUUCUUACUUUUAACAAAUUACAUUUCUUAUGAUUUUCUUUUUUCUUUCCAGUGCUUUCUGUUUGCUGUUUGUCUAUCUGAGGUCAUGAAGAUGCUGUUCUGUGUACAAGUUUAGGGCUCAUACAAUUUAGACCUGAACUCCACUGGAAGUUAACCUUAAUCCAAAAGAAGCUUGUAAGGAACAUGAGAUGUCUAUCUGUUCUGGACUUCCACUCCUACAAAUCAUAUACAUGUUUAUUUAGACUGGUGUAAAGACCAUCAGUCUCUAGGAGAGUCCAGGAGCCAGAAGACUUGGAUGUGUCAGUCAAGCAUAACAGGAGAAUGUCAGAAGAAAUAGAAGCCAUCUUUUGCUCACAGAUCCAAGCAAGAAAACAGGUACCCACUGGGGCUGAGAGACAAGUCCAAAGACUACAGGAGUCAAACCAUCUGAUCAAGAGUGGGAGAGAUUGAGAGGUGGAGGAGCAGCAUUGGGCCAAACUUGACAAACUCCAGGCUCCUGGACAGAAAUUAUCACACAACUUCUGGUGCUGAUCUAUCUAUCAUGUUCCCAUUCAUACUGAGCAACCCACCACUUGUAGACAAGAAAACAGCCCUUGAAAGGUUUACUGAUUCCCAUGGAGAGCUCAGGGUGUAAACCCCAGGCUUCUUGGAGAAUAUGAAAUUGUCAGAGAGAUGUAGAUGACUCCUUCCUGUAGUUGACAGUGAUUUCCUUCAUAAUGGAGCUUCCUCUGGUAUGUAAAAAGAAU